UGUGUGUAGUAGGCUACGUAGUCAGUGCUGCAGCGUUUAUGUUUGGAAUGACAGCUUCCUAUAUUCAAAUCCACUGGCGCCGAAGCAAAAGCUGAACUCUGAAAAAUUCGGCCUACUAUCAGAAAGUAUACUGUAGCUACAAUUUUCCAACCAACUUGUCGUGAUUUUCGUAAGUCAAAAAGUAGCCAACGUUAGCUAGCUAGCUAGUCAUACACCGGAAGAACAAUUAUCAUAUCAGUAACAUCAGCAUGCCAGCUAUCUGGCUGGCUAACAGCUGAGUUAGCUCCGUAGCUAAAGUUAGUUACUACAGUCGCGUUUUUGUGCACGAUUUGAUUUGGCAAUACAUAUACAGCUAACACUGGGUUGAUGGUUAACGGUAACCCUUGUUUGCGUGGUCAGCUGCUGUACAGUAGUCAGCAAAUGGCUGUUUAAAAACUGUGUUUACAUAGUUACCUAGGUACUUUUUUUAGCCAGCUAUGCUAACGUUAGCUAACUUGUUGUAAACAAACCCAUUUCGCCCAGUGCACGGUCUGUUAUGCACAUUAAUGAACCAUACCUGAAGAAGUUGAAAACAUCGAAUUUGACAUAUUUCUUACACACUACUUUGGGACAGUUCUUUACAGCAAAAACUCAUAACGUUACACUUCAAAUUGACAAAACUGAUGCUGUUAUUUGCCUUCAGAGAUAUUUGACACAACAACAACCUUACAGCUAAGACACGACCGUGACUGAUGGAGUGAGUCUGGCAAGCCACUUGCAAUCUGACCGUAGUUUAAAUGAUCUGGUCCACAAAAACCUUAUUCGCAGUGGAAUUUAUAAUAACAUUACCCAGUGCUCAUUUACAAUGAGAAAUUAUUUGGUCAGGGUUGUGUUUACACUGAGAAGAUUGAACAUGGUUCAAAGAAGUCUAAUGUUUUGCGCAAGAUUAAGGACUUGGAUUCCCUCCCCAUGGUUACCAAGGAUGGAUUUAGAAACAUUGUGGCAUUGCAAAGUGAUGCACCCCUGCAGUUGGGUCACAUGGUUCAAAGAAGUCUAAUGUUUUGCGCAAGAUUAAGGACUUGGAUUCCCUCCCCAUGGUUACCAAGGAUGGAUUUAGAAACAUUGUGGCAUUGCAAAGUGAUGCACCCCUGCAGUUGGGUCACAAACAUUACCUGUCUCUUUGGAAUAAUGAGGGUCCUGAAGGCAGAGUAUAGGUUCUAGAUGGUAACAUUAUAAUUUCAGUUGCUAACUAUUGUGAGAAUUACAAUGGUGAUUACCUGAACCAGACUUACUUUGAGGUCGCAGACCAAAGUGUCACCAUGCCCCUUGUCAUGUAGAAUGAGCUGUGGCCAGAGUGGUACCAGAGACUGAAUGUUGGAACUGUGCUUUACUUCAAAAACUACACCCUCAAGCAGAGUAAUCCAAACAGGUCUCGACCUGACAUAGACAACCACAGAAUGAAGAGCUUUCACUCAGUAGGAAUCUGUCUGAAUCCUUGGAAUCCCACUGCACUCCUUACUGUGGUUCCAGCCAAGUGUGCAGUCUCAAUGGGGCUUGCCUAAGGUUUCCUACCAGUUCACCACCAGGUAAGUUCACAACCACAUUAAGCAGUUUAAAUGAGAUUGUAUGUAAAAACAAAAGGCCUUUCCCUGCGUAACAUUUACAACAUUACUAAGCAGUCUUUAUCAUCUGCAUGAACUACUCAUUCCUUGCUUCUUAUAAGUGUUUUUCUUCUAGAUAAGAAUUGAAGAACAAUUCUGCAUGUGAUGUCAUUGGCUUGGUAACUUUUGUGGGUCGGGUGGAGAGAGUCAAGAGUAAGGGUCAGAGGUGUUCGUUAGACUUGGACUAGUCAUUUAUUCUGAAAAUGUAACACAAAUGCUCGUGAUUUUUUUCCGUCUUUUGCAGGCCCAGAAAAAUACUGGACUUACCACUGGGUCCAUGCAGUGUAACAUCCAAUAGUCCUUUUAUUUUGGAGCUUUCUGCUUCUUCACAACCAGAAAUAUACCAUGGGAUAUACCCAAGCAAAUAUUUUUACUAUAGUACUAGCUAUAACAGUUAUUAGCUAUAAUACAAACAAUUCAAUAGGUAAACGGCAACAGAACUCUUCUAAUUGUACUUAUUGUCUCCCUGCUCUGCACCCUCCCCAUAUCACAUUGCAGUAACAUACCUGGUGUGCACUCAGAUGAGAAAGUGUUAAGAGCAAGACUCACUGCCUUACCUCACCAGCAGCUGCAAGACACAUAUAUUUUGUACCAUUUUCCCUCAGGGUAUCACAAGGGCCAGCCCUACCUGUCAGACCCCAGGGUGAAGCUUCGUCCAGUGGACCAAGACUGAAGGACAGCAUUAUGCUGAAGAAGACUAUUGUUGGUGGCCAUUAUUGCUUCCCUCACACCCCUCAGAUAUUCACACAGUCAGUGGCAGAUGGCUCAGUGAUCAGAAAACUGUAGACGUAACUGAAACACAGAAAAACAGGGAAACAGCGCCCUCUGGUGUUCAGAGCUCAGCAGACGGGGGAAAAACAACCCAAGUGAGGUGAGUUUCAAAACACAGGUGGGCUAUAAAACAUUACUAAACAUUUAAAAUUGUACUUGUAACUCCCCUUUACUACGGCAUUUGAAAUUGUAUUUGUAUAUUUUACAUUGUCAUGAUGACGUCACUUGCGUGUUUUAGAAUAAUUGUAUUUUGUCUUUUAGAGUGAUAAAGCAAUGCUACAUCACUCGGGCCAGGAUGCAAGAGAAAAGAGAAGCUGGCCGUGGCUUUACAGAAUAGGAGCUAGUGGAGCUGGAAGAGAGAGUGAUUCUGAAUCAGAGGAAGAAGUUGGUCCACUAGAUAGAAACCCAGACCAAACCAGAGCCAGUGGACAACAAAGUCCAUCAGGUAUAAGAGUGCUGUGCCACAUGAACAUACUAUCUCAACAUUUAUCUGUGGCCUAGCUUCUAUUACUCUGUUUAUGAACUAAGCAUGGCUAGCCUGAGAAAUUAACUAUGCUGUCUGUCUGGAACCAUGGAAACUGCUUGCCAUUAAUGAGGGGUGUUGCAACAAGGCUAGUGACACUGAUAUGCCUACUAUAUUUUGUUUCUAAGAUAUUCCACAGAGUGACGGCGCUCCAAGAGAGAGUGGUUACGGACUGUGAUGGAUUUUUUUUAAAGCAGCUCGUGGCUGAAGCAGAGACGAGAAGUGUCAGAAUAUUUGGGUCAAUGACGAAUAAGGUUUUCAAAAACAUUUUAAAAGGGAAAAAUAUUAAUUUCGAAACAUUUUUUAUGUUCCCUUGAGUGUUACCUACAAUGUGUUUGCACAUUCAGGAUUUGUCGCUUUUUAUGCAAGUUAAAUUUACUUCCUAAAAAAAGUCAUCCUGUCUGACCAUACAUUUUUUUAUAUAAAAAAUGUUUUCUGACCAUUAUUUCUAGCAAAGAAGAGUAAAAUAUGAAUAUAAACAUGGUCUCAGUUAUUCAAUAUCAAAGAAGUUAAAAAUUACGGUAUAAUUUUUUUUUUACUUUUCACUGGACGACCCCACAUUUUGAAUGACUGUCAACUAAAACUUCUGUUAGAGAAAUUAAAACCAUAUACAAUUUUACAAAAAUUCAUUUUUCUCUUAUAGACUGAGCUUCUCUGCAUUUUAUUAGACAAUAUAAUCAUGUUAUUGUUUUUAACCAUUAAGUACCGAAUAAUCAUUGCUGGUUGCACCGAAUGACUAUUUUACAGUGUAAUUUUUUUUAGGCAGAUCUCUUUCCCUCUUACAGAAACACACACAUACAUAAACAGUAUGGUUUCUUAUUCAACUACAAUGAUGCCUUUAAUGCUUAAUAAAUUACAAGAAAUGUGACUCAAAUGUUUAUCACGCAGAAACAUUUCAUCAUGAACAUGGCAAUGAAUUUCUAAAAAUGAUUAAAAUUCUGCACUAUGAUACAUUUUUCAAACAAUGUUAAAACAGUUAAGAAUCAAUGUAAUACAUACAUAGUAAAGUUCUUGAAGUACAGUAAUGACAUUCAAACAUUAAAAUACAAAACGUUUAAGAAAGUGUUCUACAUUACAUCAAUUACUCAUUUGAUUAAAAACUAAUGAAAUUGCUCUGUGCAAUGUCUUGUAAAAACAUUAAUGUAACAUUAAAACAUCCACAGAUAUGUUUAAGUUUCUGCAGAACAGUGCAAGAUUAAAACAAUUAUAAAUGUGAAAGCAAUUUAUGAGGUUCAACCAUUAAAUACAAAUGAUUUCAUUGCAGCAAAAGUUGUAACAGAAACUCAAGUUGACAAUUAUCAAACUUGCAUUCCUCAGUUUGUUUGAUGAUGUUGCACUCGUGACAAGAAAGCAGCCCAGUCUGUGUCGGACAGCCGAGAUGCUCUUAAGCUCAAGGGCUUGGGCUCACUGAUCAUUGCCUUCACAUCUCUUUCAUAGUACAAGGUAAUGUCUGGCACAGAUGACCAGACAAAAACAUUCCUCACUCCAUACUGCUGCAUAGAAGUGAUCAGCACUUCCUCCCCAACCACCUUCAGUACCUGGCCUACAAAGGGGCGGUAGCCGUAAGUGAGUAAAAUCACUGAGAAAGCCAAGCCAGUAAAAAAAGUCAUAUUAUAACCUAUGUUGUGAUAAUUAGGUUGUUUGCUCAAACCCAUUCGUUCAUUCGCCACCGUGAUAUACAAUAAGGCCGUGACAACAAAAAAACAACAGUCACGGAAUAAAUUCAACUACACAUA